rnacentral:lncRNA from 1 species
CAUUGUAACAUCUGGUUGUUAGGAUCAGUACCUAAUUUUAUCACUGUCGUCCAUAACCUAGAGCCUAGCAUGGUGCUGGGCUCAUAGUUACUUAAGUAAAACGACCUGAUUUUGCUGGAUCUGUUUCUUCUUGCGCAGCUCUUCAUGCAGCUGACAGGGAUCAUAUCAGAUGUCUGAAGGUGGCAGGUUCUGAGAAUCUGUGUCCAGAUGGCUGCUGAAGCUUCUACUUCAAGGUUCAAGGGCAGCAGUUCUCAGGAGACCCCAACACUUCACAUCUUUGGCAGGAUCUUAUUUUUGGCUCAGAGUAUAUUGAUAGACAUACUUCCUUUCAAAGAGGAGCUGGAUACCUGGGUGUUUCCCAAGGAAUUAUGA